ensembl:lncRNA
GGCCGUCUCUCCCCCCUUCCAGGCCGGCUCAGCUCGCUGCGGAGAAAGGCACGUGCUUCGCUCGGACUUCGGUGCAGUGCUGCAGGACACCAGCCUUGACACACUUCUCCCUUUCCUUGCUGUCCUUCACAUUGUGAAUAAGUGAACCUUCAGCCCUGCAAGCCUUGUACGCAAUUCAAAGUGCAAGAGCCAAUGCACUUGCCAUCAGAAGGACAGAGCAGGACACCUUGCGUUCUGAGGAUGUGAAGAUGUUUGGAGGUGUGAAGAUGGUCAGGAUGAGUCUGAGGACUGUCCUCUGGAAGCAUGUAGAAGAUCUGCAUUCCGGGCUGUCCCUCUCCUUUGGCAGCAUUGCUCCUGAAGUUGACUCUACAAAUGACUGGAAUUGCACACUUAUUUCCCAUCAUUUGCUCACAUCUCACCGCUGGCUGUGUUCAUGCUUUGAAGGAUCAUGGCAGCGCUGCCUUACUGCUCCAGCCUGGUUCAGAGGAAACACAGAAAAUGAAGAUUUCCCAUUGAAGAGAGAGAUGCUUUUCUAGCUUGGAUUUUUUUUCUGUUUUGUGCUGCACUUCUGAAGAAUUCAGAGAUAACGGGGAAAACAGUCCUCCAGAAGACAAGAAGAACAUUUCUGCUUCUCCCUCCACACACCCCCCUUCAAAUAUAAGUAGAUCCAUGUGUGCAGAAAAGAGAAAGUUCCUGGAGAAGAACAAAUAAAGUUUUAUUGCUAUGGUUUUUCAAAUGACAUCACUGAGAGCUUAGAAAUUUUAACAGAAAUGGAAGUAAUGAAACUGUUUAAGAGCUGCAGUGGUAAUAAGUAUUUUAAACGAGCUACUGAAGACAUCCUCUGCUUCUGGACUUAACCAUCACCUCGUGGCAUUGAAAAUAAAGACUGCCUAUAGUGAAUUACUCCUCCACAGGGGGAUGCUGCUAUUAAGCUGCAGAAAGGAAGCUUCAUCCAUGUAGUGCUGUAUCUAACAGAACAGUACACUCCUCUCUCCCUGUUGCAGCUCAUUCAUGGACAAAGUUGGUGCAACUCUUUACAUUUUGGGUUUCUCAAGGAAGGCAGCCUGAAUGAAUCCACGCAUCUUCACAGAAGUAAUGGUGGAAACUUCCAGAGGAACUUUAUUGCCUGAAUCAGCUCGUACUUAUACAGAAAUACAGGGUUGCAUGAUUUCCAUAAUUUGCUAAUGUGAUGUAACAGCACCACCCUUUUCCUCAGCACACUGACUAUGAGCACUGAUAACCAAAAAGUAUUAGCAGCAGACUUCAACGUGUAUAGACUACAGCCCUCCAACAGCUCAUCAGUCCCACAGAUGCAGAGGAACACCUCCAUUUGGGAUGAGAUACUGAAUUUCAAGGGUUUGAAGAAACCAAAAUUUAGGAGACAACAUAAGUCUCAAUUUCUCUAAAUAGCAGUGCAGAACAGUGUUCUGUGAUGGUGGCUUCACCUAUCUCUGUGAAAUUUUGUGAUAUUAAGCUUAAAGACUCUCACACAGUAAGCUUUUAAUAGCCAUUUAUAAUCAAGCGACAUGAAGUGCCUAUUACAGCCUUAGAUUUCCAGCAGUUGCCUGACUAGUUAAUAUUUGAACACAUAGAAUUUCAUGCCGCAGUGUUGCUCACUACAGACCAUUUUGAUCAAAUACAUUUUCUUGCUUUGAACAUUUAUUCCCUUUUCUUAUCCCACUGAUCAAGUAACGCUGUGUUCAGGCAAUUAGAGAAAGUUAUAUUGCAAGGAUAUCUAAGAGCAGCUCACCUACCAGGAGCUAUAAUCUAUGCAAUGACUCGCGUACAAAGAUGUCAUUGACUGCAAAUGUAAAUGAUAAUAUUCUCCCUUGCUAUGGUGAUAGGAAUACCAUCAAACUCAACUUGUCCUCAGGCAAGAUCCUGGCAUGUCAAAGUUAUUUAACAACCCUAAGCAAUGCAUGAACGUGGAUGUCAAUUAAUACUAAAUCACUCUUGUGGAGUUUAAUCUCCACUUGAAACUCUCAUCUUUUCGUUCAGGCAAAGAUACACUAAAUUACUUGUAAACCACUGGAGAUUUGUACAGGCCAUCACAAAUGGUUUAAGCCACCACUUAUCCUUUAUGUUACAGAAAAAGUGAUUAAUCUCCUUUCUGCUCAUGCAUAACAGAUCUAUUCUGUGCUGCACGAGAGGUAAUAAGUAUGAAAUAAACAAAUGAAAU